rnacentral:rRNA from 1 species
UACGAAGGGGGCUAGCGUUGCUCGGAAUCACUGGGCGUAAAGCGCACGUAGGCGGCUUUGCAAGUCCGGGGUGAAAGCCCCCAGCUCAACUGGGGAAGUGCCUCGGAUACUGCGGAGCUCGAGGGAGGUAGGGGCGGAUGGAACUUCCGGUGGAGCGGUGAAAUGCGUUGAUAUCGGAAGGAACGCCGGUGGCGAAAGCGAUCCGCUGGCCCUCUACUGACGCUGAGGCGCGAAAGCCAGGGGAGCAAACGGG